CGGAGGGUGCAAGCGUUAUCCGGAUUCACUGGGUUUAAAGGGUGUGUAGGCGGGCUGUUAAGUCAGUGGUGAAAUCUCCAGGCUCAACCUGGAAACUGCCAUUGAUACUAUCAGUCUUGAAUUUUGUUGAGGUAGGCGGAAUAUAUCAUGUAGCGGUGAAAUGCUUAGAUAUGAUAUAGAACACCGAUUGCGAAGGCAGCUUACUAAGCAAAUAUUGACGCUGAGGCACGAAAGCGUGGGGAUCAAACAGGAUUAGAUACCCUGGUAGUCCACGCCCUAAACGAUGAUUACUCGACAUACGCGAUACACAGUGUGUGUCUGAGCGAAAGCAUUAAGUAAUCCACCUGGGAAGUACGUCCGCAAGGAUG
rnacentral:rRNA from 1 species